GUAUAACUUAAGUACUAGUCGGGGUUUUAAGAGAUCUAGAUCUAUAUACUCGAUGUGCUGAGAAAGUAUUUCUGGAUCUCCUAUUAUUGCCACUUCCUUUUUAAGCAGAGAUUCAACCAGUGUCAUGAGGGGUUCAACAAUUAAUUUUGGGUUUAGUUGAGUGUAAUGUUCACUAGGUGUGGAUACCUCAUUAUUAUCAACUUCGGAUAUCUCCUCCAGUUCCUCAGACCUGAAUGUUCUCAACUGAUUGAACUGGUCUUUAAGUUCUAGACCAUUCUGAGCUCUAGGGUCAUCCUCUAGUUGGCUUGAUAAUUUACCCUCUUCUAGUUUACUAACC
rnacentral:lncRNA from 1 species